UACGAAGGGGGCUAGCGUUGCUCGGAAUCACUGGGCGUAAAGGGUGCGUAGGCGGGUCUUUUAAGUCAGGGGUGAAAUCCUGGAGCUCAACUCCAGAACUGCCUUUGAUACUGAAGAUCUUGAGUUCGGGAGAGGUGAGUGGAACUGCGAGUGUAGAGGUGAAAAUUCGUAGAUAUUCGCAAGAACACCAGUGGCGAAGGCGGCUCACUGGCCCGAUACUGACGCUGAGGCACGAAAGCGUGGGGAGCAAACAGGG
rnacentral:rRNA from 1 species